rnacentral:tRNA from 1 species
GCCCUAGUAGCUCAGUUCCAGAGCAACGGUCUUGUAAGCCGAAGGCCAGAGGUUAAAUUCCUCUCUAGUGCU